ACUUGCUUAUAUAGGAGUAACUGAGUAGUGGGCAAAACCACUCAUCAUAUAUAAAGAUGGAUUCUUUAAUUUCGUGGACCGAUUUCAAAAAGAAAGAAACCCUAACUUUUCGUCUUCUCGUUACUAUUUUGGAUAUAAAAUAAAAAGAAACCCUCGAGAAGACUCAACCGUUGGGCUCUGCUUUGAUAACUCUAAGUUGUAACACUGUUGAUCAGGGUCUGUUUUAGUAUGAAAUCGAGAAAGAAGGUCGUUGGUGGUUCCAGUGACAGUAUCAGCAGUUUACCGGACGCACUGAUUUGUCACAUCUUAAGCUUUCUUCCCACAAAAGAAGCUGCUUCAACCACUGUUCUUGCCAAGAGAUGGAAGCCUCUGCUUGCUUUUGUACCAAAUCUUGACUUUGACGAUUCAAUCUGUUUCCAUCCUCCAAGGACUUACCAAAGAGCGAGAAACAGUUCUGAAAGUUUUAUGCAGUUCGUGGAUGGUGUAUUGGCUUUGCAAGCGAAAGCCAAAGCUCCGUUGAACAGAUUCCAUGUGAAGUGUAAACAUGUUGUUGAUUGUUCACUUUUUAGUUUCACCGGCUUAGCUCUUUUGUUUUCUUAAACCUUUCUGGAUAAGAUUCAUUAUACUCCUUACAUCAUAUAUAUAUGCCACACUUAGCAUUUAA